ACAUUUCUGAAGUUAAUCACCAUCCACGGCCUGUUCUACACUGAUAAACUAAAUAGUUAGUCUGUCCGGUUAUGCAUGGCUUCCAUAUUCGUUUAUAACUAAAAUUUACCAAUAUUGUUUAUAGAUUGUAGAAUUGGCUUGAAAGGAUUGUAAAGAUACAAAACAAACGUUUUCAACUUCUAUGCCUAAAGACAGAUUAAAACGGGACAAGUAGCAUUGACAUAUAUCAUAUUUCAUUAUAUCUAAGGAUUUGCAAGAUCAAACCACCUGGAAAAUAGAACAAGAUCUUCGACGUUUCGAGCGAAGGCCCUUCGUUGGGAAUGUACCUUCCUCGGGCCUUCGCUCGAAACGUCCAAGUUCUGCUUGUAUUUUUCGAGUAUAGUUGCAUCCCUAUCAAUCCGAAACUUUCUUAGUAAAAGUUUUCCUGUUCGGAACUUUAAACUUCUUGAUAUAUAUUUUCAGGCAGUUGUGUUAUAUUUCCUCCUUUCCAUUUACAGUAAUGGGUUAGGCUAUCCAACUUGACUAUCCCUGAAUGUUAUUAGAAAGUACCGGACACCGGAUGGCAAGUUUCUUCACAUCAACGAACGCCCUUGAAGUUGUCAAAGUCUAAACGAAUACUUGAUCAUUUUCAAUAUCCACAUCAUAACGCACUUAUAGCUAUAAUAGGGCACACUUCAUUUCCGGAAGGGUUACACUUUCCUGUUGCACCUAAUAUCAAACGGGCCUUAGUUUUGCCUUAGUUUCUAAUAAGAGGAAAACCGGAGCAUCUAAAUAAAAUCCUCGAAGCACAGACCACCACCAAAAACAUCUCUCAGGAAGGGCCUAUGGUUGAAGACAACUUCAAUUGCUUAAAUAAGUAGUAAGGCCAUGUAAGACAUGUAACUAUUUUGAUAAUUGCCCUGAAUACAUGAAUUAAAGUAGAUCAGUAUAUACCCAGACGAACUCUGGGCUCAUCAUCACCAAUCCAACUUGAGGUGCCAGCUGAAAAUGGCACCUUUCAAGACAACGCUGUUUGUCAACUUUAAUUCUCUCCCAGAUUGUUUACGAAAUUAGCCUUUCUCACGCCGCCAUUUUUGGGAUACUGUCUUUUCCAAAUCUGAGAUUGUACGCAGUGAAUAAGGGAUUUGUAUAACUAUAAUUGUGAGUAUAAUCAUUAUAAAGUACCAUUUAAAACACGAGUAGGAUGUGUUUUAUCAGAUAUAAACCGACGCGAACGGUGAGAAAACGAGAAAACCUGGGUUUUUUUGGCCGCCAUCUUGACGCUUUAAACCCCUUUGAUUAUUUCAUUAUUGAAUUUUCUGCCAGAAAAAACGCAAUAGCUACUAAAGGGGUUUUUACACAGUUUAAAAAACAACACUAUAUAAGGUCUAUUUUACAAUUUUUUCUUGUUUCUCUAAAAUACUUCAUAACUAAAACGAAAAAGCCAACAUCAAGAAACGAAAAGAUUGGCUUUAGCAGUUUAGGCUAUCCGAAUUCCGAUCAAGCUUCGUCGCUUUUCAUGUAUGUAUAGGUCUCGCAUGUGGUGUGAACGAAGAGUGUAUCUAAAAGUCGAGGGUCGAGAGUCGAGAGUAUAGGUCGAGAGUAAAAGUCGAGAGUAAUAUAAAAGUCGAGAGUCGAGAGUAAAAGUCGGGGGUCGAGAGUAAAAAGUCGAGAGGAAAAAGUCGAGAGUCGAGAGUAAAAAGUCGAGAGUCGAUCGAGAGUAAAAAGUCGAGAGUCGGCAAAUGUCAUCAGAAACAACAAAGUCAAAAUAUUUUUAACCACGUUUAACACAAUCUAUAUAU